UACGGGAGGCAGCAGUGAGGAAUAUUGGUCAAUGGACGAGAGUCUGAACCAGCCAAGUAGCGUGCAGGAUGACGGCCCUAUGGGUUGUAAACUGCUUUUAUACAGGGAUAAAGUGACGUACGUGUACGUUUUUGUAGGUACUGUAUGAAUAAGGACCGGCUAAUUCCGUGCCAGCAGCCGCGGUAAU
rnacentral:rRNA from 1 species